ensembl:lncRNA
CCUACAGCUUCGUAGUAGAUAUUUCACAACACUGUCGUAACAACUAGUUGACGACCCUUCCCCAUGCACUUCUGCGCGAGCCAUGUGCAUUUGUUUUCAAAGAAGCCGGCGAAUGCGUGGAGCCAUGUCCGAAGUAGAUGUUCAUAAAGUGUAGGCAAGGUUAUACAUUUUUAAAAGGGUGUAUUUGUAUUGCAAUAAACAUAAAUCCAUCCUUUUUUAUAGUUGACGGGGAGAAUUUAUAUCCUAGAUUAUAAUUGUUUUAUUUUAGGUUGAACAGAACAAUCAGUGUAAGAGGUUUGGCCAACAUAAUAAUCUAAAUAAACAAGAACCUGGAUUCGGGGAUUCAGUCUGUAUCUAGGGGACGAGACAGACGAACAGCAAAACACCAACGGGAAACAAAGGUGUUUAUAUGGUUGCAACCAAGCAAGCUAGAAACAUACAGGGCUCACAACAAAACGGUCGAGAAAACAAUUUUUACAGGGCUCACAACAAAAUGGUUGAGCAAACACAUUUGUACAGAGACUAUCAACAUCAAGAAUACCACGAAGACAAAGUUCACCCAAGGGUACUUUCAAUUUCAAAAGCAACACGGCCGAGUCGGCGUCUGAUUUGCAGUCUUCUUUUUCUUUCAGUUCACGCUAUUCCUGAAAAGCUUGCCCAACGUUUACUCGUGUCUGGCCUCUCUGCCGGUCAGUCUCCCUUUCCUGAAAAGCUUGCCCAACGUUUACUCGUGUCUGGCCUCUCUGUCGGUCAGUCUCCCUUUUCUCUUCUUCUGUUCCUCCGACAUUGGGUUUCUCUGUCUCUUUUUAGUCGGCUGAUCUAUGAUGAAUAUAACAAUCCCUUAGUUACUUGUGUUUAUAUCGAGCCGGUUCCGUGUUUGGGGGUCUGUGCUGUAAAGCAAUUCGUUACUGUAGUGACCCUUGCACAGAAGCAUACGGCCGACAUCUUUCUUUAUUCUGGGUGGAAAUAGUAACAUAGUUACGCCAUUAAAUGCGUUUAUGGAAACAUUUUUAGCGAGAAAUGUGCAUUUUACUUUCAUAAUGUUCGCUCGGUGAAUGUGAAGGAUGUUCGGUUUGAUAGUUAUGACGAAGAGUGAACGCUCCGUUCACUUGCAUGGACAGAGUCUCUGGUUGCUAAGCAACCUCAACGUCUUGGCGGACUAUUUCUCUCCUGAUCAACACUACGAAUGCUGGAAACACACCAGACACACCAUGUGAAGUUAUUUAACCCGAUUAUCGUUAUUUAUGAGUCCUUAGCCCAAGUGAAGGAGUUCAAGUACCUCGGGGUCUUGUUCGCGAGUGAGGGUACUAUGGAGCGUGAGAUUGGCCGGAGAAUCAGAGCAGCGGGGGCGGUAUUGCGUUCGCUUUACCGCACCGUUGUUACGAAAAGAGAGCUGAGCCGCAAGGCAAAGCUCUCGAUCUACCGGUCGAUCUUCGUUCCUAUCCUCACCUAUGGUCAUGAGGGUUGGGUGAUGACCGAAAGGACGAGAUCGCGGGUAAAAGCGGCCGAGAUGAGUUUUCUCAGAAGGGUGGCUGGCGUCGCAGGAUAGGGUGAGAAGCUCAGUCAUCCGUGAGGAACUCGGAUUAGAGCCGCUGCUCCUUUACUUAGAAAGGAGUCAGCUGAGGUGGUUCGGGCAUCUGGCAAGGAUGCCCACUGGGCGCCUCCCUUUGGAGGUGUUUCAGGCACGUCCAUUGGGGAGGAGACCUCGGGGAAGACCCAGGACUAGGUGGAGAGAUUAUAUCUCAACACUGGCCUGGGAACGCCCCGGGAUCCCCCCGUCAGAGCUGGUCAAUGUGGCCCGGGAAAGGGAAGUCUGGAGCCCCCUGCUUGAGCUGCUCCCCCCGCGACCCGACCCCGGAUAAACGGAUGACGAUGAGAUGAGAUGAGAUCGUUAUUUAUAUCCGAGAUUAUUUAAUCUAACCCGAUCUAAACUCUAUCAUGCACCCAAACAUGGCGGCGUUUGGGUUUCCUACCUCGGACUCUAGCGCAGCCACAGGCGCGUUGAACCAUUUUUGUGACACACAAUGAUCAAGCGUCAGGUUAGGCGCGUUACUCGCGUUAUCCAACGCGAGUAACGCGGUUGGUGUGGCCGUACCAUUAGUCGAUUGAUCCAUGAUGAAUGCAACAAUUGCCUCGCAACUGGCUGUUUAUAUCUAGCCGGUGCCAUGUUUGGGUGUGUGUCUGUGCCGUAAAGCAUUUUCGAAACUACAAUCUGACUACAUUUUCGAGGAUACUUCCGCUGCGUCACAUCCGGAUUGUGUCGGUCCGAACAGAUCAAGUUGCAUAUGCGCUUUUUCACUGGAGAGGCGACAUGGGUAAAUGACACACCCACCAAUCGACCCAGAAAUGGAUGCAGAACCAUCAGCAUAACUCUCAACCUGCAUACUUAAUGUAAUUUUGGCUAAAAAAGUUGCAUAGUGGGCCUUUAACUCAGCUCAGCUAAUUUGAUGAGUGAUUCGCUGCUCUGCAACGACACGAGAUGGCGUGUUAAUACAAGGCCGAACUAUGCUUGAAAGGAAGUGCAAAAUAAAAUGGCUGUCUGGUUCUAAACUAAAGCAGUGAAAUUAUAAAUGAUACAUUUGAACAGAUAAUA